UGUGGGCGGCUGAGGACCGCCGGCUGCCCGGCUCGGAGAAGAACAGGUGCAGUGGCUCACACCCGUAAUCCCAGCACUUUGGGAGGCCGAAGCAUGUGGAUCGCUUGAGGUCAGGAGUUCAAGACCAGCCUGGGCAACAUGGCGAAACCCCGUUUCUGCUAAAACUCAAAAAUUAGCCGGGAACUCUCUCUUCUAUUCUCAGAGUCUACAAAAUGCAUUAUUAAAAAGGCAGGAAGAAAACUGGGCUUUAUCAAGAAAGUCGCAUGCGCUUGACUGAGGGACUUUCCCUUUCGUCCGGCGAAGGUCUGGUGAGUCCAAUGGGGGAGUGGAAUUCGUUCCGGUGAUCCUCUCGGUCGCUCCCGUCGUACGAACUGCUACAGCUGCUCAAGCUGUCAACAGGAGAUCUCCCCGCCUCGUGGCGCGUGUGUUGUGGGUAUCUCGAAGGGGUGGUGGUACGGUCUCU
rnacentral:ncRNA from 2 species